AGGGCUACUACACCGAGGUUAUCAAAUAAACGUGAUACAAUGCAGCGUAGGCUGUCAUAAGCGUUGUCUCUUUCCUGCCUUGCCUUGGACGAGGAAGGCGGUGUAUUAACAGUGUUCAUUUGACCAACAAGUUCAUCUACGAACAUCAGGCAAAAUGGUGAACUUCACAGUGGACCAGAUUCGUGCGAUCAUGGACAAGAAGUCCAACAUCCGUAACAUGUCUGUGAUCGCUCACGUGGACCACGGCAAGUCCACGCUGACUGACUCCCUGGUGUCUAAAGCCGGGAUCAUUGCAGGGUCUCGCGCCGGAGAGACUCGCUUCACAGACACACGCAAAGACGAGCAGGAGCGGUGCAUUACCAUCAAGUCCACGGCCAUCUCUAUGUACUAUGAGCUGGGGGAAAAUGACAUGGCCUUCAUCAAGCAGACUAAGGAUGGGCUUGGUUUCCUCAUCAAUCUGAUCGACUCCCCGGGCCACGUGGACUUCUCCUCUGAGGUCACAGCCGCCCUCAGGGUCACAGACGGCGCACUGGUGGUGGUCGACUGUGUCUCAGGUGUGUGUGUGCAGACAGAGACUGUGUUGAGGCAGGCCAUUGCAGAGCGCAUCAAGCCGGUGCUGAUGAUGAACAAGAUGGACCGGGCCCUGCUGGAGCUGCAGCUGGAGCCUGAGGACCUGUUCCAGACAUUCCAGCGCAUCGUGGAGAAUGUCAACGUCAUCAUCGCCACCUAUGGAGAGGAUGAAGCAGGACCAAUGGGUGCCAUUAUGAUUGACCCUGUGAUCGGUACCGUAGGGUUUGGGUCUGGCCUCCACGGCUGGGCCUUCACCCUCAAGCAGUUUGCUGAGAUGUACGUGGCCAAGUUUUCUGCUGGCAAAGACACCCAGUUGGGACCAGCAGAGCGAUGUAAGAAGGUGGAGGACAUGAUGAAGAAGCUAUGGGGAGAGAGGUUUUUUGACCCAGCCACUGGGAAGUUCAGUAAGACUGCCACUGGCCCCGAUGGUAAAAAGCUUCCCCGCACCUUCUCUCAACUCGUGCUGGAUCCAAUCUUCAAGGUAUUCGAUGCCGUCAUGAACUUCAAGAAGGACGAGACGGCCAAGCUGAUAGAGAAGCUGGACAUCAAGCUGGACACGGAGGACAAGGAGAAGGAGGGCAAGCCCCUACUGAAGGCAGUGAUGCGUCGCUGGCUCCCAGCCGGAGAGGCUCUGCUCCAGAUGAUCACCAUCCACCUGCCCUCCCCCGUCACCGCCCAGAAGUACCGCUGUGAGCUGCUUUAUGAGGGUCCAGGAGACGACGAGGCCGCCAUGGGUAUCAAGAACUGUGACCCCAAGGCACCUCUGAUGAUGUACAUCUCUAAGAUGGUGCCCACAACAGAUAAAGGUCGCUUCUACGCUUUCGGCCGUGUCUUCUCUGGCUGUGUGUCCACCGGUCUGAAGGUGCGCAUCAUGGGACCAAACUUCACCCCCGGGAAGAAGGAAGACCUCUACAUCAAACCCAUCCAGAGGACCAUUCUGAUGAUGGGGCGCUACGUAGAGCCCAUUGAGGAUGUACCAUGUGGAAACAUUGUUGGUCUGGUUGGAGUAGACCAGUAUCUGAUUAAGACGGGGACCAUCACCACCUUUGAACAGGCCCACAACAUGCGUGUGAUGAAAUUCAGCGUUAGCCCCGUGGUGAGAGUGGCUGUGGAGGCCAAGAACCCAGCUGACCUGCCCAAGCUGGUGGAGGGCCUGAAGCGUCUGGCCAAGUCUGACCCCAUGGUGCAGUGUAUCAUCGAGGAGUCUGGCGAGCACAUCAUCGCCGGGGCCGGAGAGCUCCACCUGGAGAUCUGUCUCAAGGAUCUGGAGGAGGACCACGCUGGCAUUCCACUGAAGAAAUCAGACCCGGUGGUGUCCUACAGGGAGACUGUGUCUGAGGAGUCUGAAGUGAUGUGCCUGUCCAAGUCCCCCAACAAGCACAACCGUCUGUACAUGCGUGCCAAACCAUUCCCUGACGGCCUGGCCGAGGACAUAGAGAAGGGUGACGUCAGCCCCCCGGCAGGAGCUCAAGAUCCGUGCCCGCUUCCUGGCUGACAAGUACGAGUGGGACGUGUCGGAGGCCCGUAAGAUCUGGUGCUUUGGUCCCGACGGCACCGGGCCCAACCUGCUGAUGGACGUGACCAAGGGAGUCCAGUACCUGAACGAGAUCAAGGACAGCGUGGUGGCCGGCUUCCAGUGGGCUGUCAAGGAGGGUGUGCUGUGCGAGGAGAACAUGCGUGCGAUCCGCUUUGACAUCCACGACGUGACCCUGCACACAGAUGCCAUUCACCGCGGUGGCGGACAGAUCAUCCCUACCGCCCGCAGAGUGCUGUAUGCUUGCCAGCUCACUGCACAGCCAAGACUCAUGGAGCCUGUCUACCUGGUCGAGAUCCAGUGCCCAGAGCAGGUAGUGGGCGGGAUCUACGGCGUGCUGAACAGGAAGCGAGGUCACGUGUUCGAGGAGUCCCAGGUGAUGGGCACGCCCAUGUUCAUCGUCAAGGCCUAUCUUCCUGUCAAUGAGUCAUUCGGUUUCACAGCUGACCUGCGCUCCAACACAGGUGGCCAGGCCUUCCCCCAGUGUGUGUUUGACCACUGGCAGAUCCUCCAGGGGGACCCCCAGGACCUACCACCAAGACUGCCAUUGUGGUGGCAGAGACCAGGAAACGCAAGGGACUCAAAGAGGGCAUCCCCGCCCUAGACAACUACCUGGACAAACUGUAAAUGCUAAUUCUGAAUCCCAAAUGGACCCCUAGACACAACAACCCCCUCUAGGCACUACAAUUUAAGUUGUUGGCUAGGCAUAAGCAAUAUGGGGUAGAUUUCACCUAGCCUAUCAGAGGGUAAUGUGGAUCUGUAAGUAUAUUGCUUAUGGUAUACCGAUCUGACCCUUUCAGAUCUACAGUGCCUAAAGGAAUGGACUAGGGGUUGGUUUGGAAUUUAGUGGAUGUCUGACCAUUCCUCCCCCCAUUCCUUCUAUUCCUCCACUGUACGAGUGAGGGAUGGGACUGUACAGUGCGCAAUGGCGCUUGCCUAAAUGGAAACCUGGUGAAAAUAAACCAAGGAUACAAAUGUGUAAAUCAUAAUAAAGAUUAAUAGAAAUUGUA